rnacentral:tRNA from 1 species
AUCACUCUAGUAUAUAUAGUAAGUUUUUAGUACGUUGUCUUUUCUUGUCAAAAGAAGGAAGUGAUU